rnacentral:rRNA from 1 species
UACGGAGGGUGCAAGCGUUAUCCGGAUUCACUGGGUUUAAAGGGUGCGUAGGUGGGCAAGUAAGUCAGUGGUGAAAUCUCCGGGCUUAACCCGGAAACUGCCAUUGAUACUAUUUGUCUUGAAUACUGUGGAGGUCAGCGGAAUAUGUCAUGUAGCGGUGAAAUGCUUAGAUAUGACAUAGAACACCAAUUGCGAAGGCAGCUGGCUACACAAAUAUUGACACUGAGGCACGAAAGCGUGGGGUGCAAACAGG